rnacentral:rRNA from 1 species
AGAGUUUGAUCCUGGCUCAGAAUGAACGCUGGCGGCGUGCCUAACACAUGCAAGUCGGAUGUGCCGCAAGGUGCAUGGCAGACGGGUGAGUAACGCGUGGGCAAUCUACCUUUUAGUGGGGAAUAACGAUCCGAAAGGAUUGGUAAUACCGCAUGUGAUCAUCGACUGGGAUGUUGGUGAUGAAAGCCGGGGACCGCAAGGCCUGGCGCUAGGAGAGGAGCCCGCGUCUGAUUAGUUAGUUGGUGGGGUAACGGCCUACCAAGACAUCGAUCAGUAGCCGGCCUGAGAGGGUGAUCGGCCACACUGGAACUGAGACACGGUCCAGACUCCUACGGGAGGCAGCAGUGGGGAAUUUUGCGCAAUGGACGAAAGUCUGACGCAGCAACGCCGCGUGGGUGAUGAAGGUCUUCGGACUGUAAAACCCUGUCGUCAGGGACGAAGGUUGGGGGGUUAAUAGCCCUUUAGCUUGACGGUACCUGGAGAGGAAGCCCCGGCUAACUCUGUGCCAGCAGCCGCGGUAAUACGUAGGUGGCAAGCGUUGUCCGGAUUUAUUGGGUUUAAAGGGUGCGUAGGUGGUUCCAUAAGUCAGAGGUGAAAUACGGCAGCUUAACUGGCGAGGUGCCAUUGAUACUGCGGAACUUGAGUACAGACGAGGUAGGCGGAAUUGAUGGUGUAGCGGUGAAAUGCUUAGAUAUCGUCAAGAACACCGAUAGCGAAGGCAGCUUACUAGACUGUAACUGACACUGAGGCACGAAAGUGUGGGGAUCAAACAGGAUUAGAUACCCUGGUAGUCC